AGGGAAACCGAGUCUUAACUGGGCGUUAAGUUGCAGGGUAUAGACCCGAAACCCGGUGAUCUAGCCAUGGGCAGGUUGAAGGUUGGGUAACACUAACUGGAGGACCGAACCGACUAAUGUUGAAAAAUUAGCGGAUGACUUGUGGCUGGGGGUGAAAGGCCAAUCAAACCGGGAGAUAGCUGGUUCUCCCCGAAAGCUAUUUAGGUAGCGCCUCGUGAACUCAUCUUCGGGGGUAGAGCACUGUUUCGGCUAGGGGGUCAUCCCGACUUACCAACCCGAUGCAAACUGCGAAUACCGAAGAAUGUUAUCACGGGAGACACACGGCGGGUGCUAACGUCCGUCGUGAAGAGGGAAACAACCCAGACCGCCAGCUAAGGUCCCAAAGUCACAGUUAAGUGGGAAACGAUGUGGGAAGGCUCAGACAGCCAGGAUGUUGGCUUAGAAGCAGCCAUCAUUUAAAGAAAGCGUAAUAGCUCACUGGUCGAGUCGGCCUGCGCGGAAGAUGUAACGGGGCUAAACUGUGCACCGAAGCUGCGGCAGCGACGCUUAUGCGUUGUUGGGUAGGGGAGCGUUCUGUAAGCCUGCGAAGGUGUCCUGUGAGGGAUGCUGGAGGUAUCAGAAGUGCGAAUGCUGACAUAAGUAACGAUAAUGCGGGUGAAAAGCCCGCUCGCCGGAAGACCAAGG
rnacentral:rRNA from 1 species